AGUGAACGCUGGCGGUAGGCCUAACACAUGCAAGUCGAACGGCAGCACAGUAAGAGCUUGCUCUUACGGGUGGCGAGUGGCGGACGGGUGAGGAAUACAUCGGAAUCUACUUUUUCGUGGGGGAUAACGUAGGGAAACUUACGCUAAUACCGCAUACGACCUACGGGUGAAAGCAGGGGAUCUUCGGACCUUGCGCGAUUGAAUGAGCCGAUGUCGGAUUAGCUAGUUGGCGGGGUAAAGGCCCACCAAGGCGACGAUCCGUAGCUGGUCUGAGAGGAUGAGCAGCCACACUGGAACUGAGACACGGUCCAGACUCCUAUGGGAGGCAGCAGUGGGGAAUAUUGGACAAUGCGCGCAAGCCUGAUCCAGCCAUACCGCGUGGGUGAAGAAGGCCUUCUGGUUGUAAAGCCCUUUUGUUGGGAAAGAAAAGCAGCAGGUUAAUACCCCGCUGUUCUGACGGUACCCAAAGAAUAAGCGCCGGCUAACUUCGUG
rnacentral:rRNA from 1 species